UACAGAGGGGGCAAGCGUUGUUCGGAAUUACUGGGCGUAAAGGGCGCGUAGGCGGCCUUCUAAGUCGAACGUGAAAUCCCCGGGCUCAACCCGGGAACUGCGUCCGAUACUGGAAGGCUUGAAUCCGGGAGAGGGAUGCGGAAUUCCAGGUGUAGCGGUGAAAUGCGUAGAUAUCUGGAGGAACACCGGUGGCGAAGGCGGCUUUCUGGACAGAAACUGACGCUGAGGCGCGAAAGCUAGGGGAGCAAACAGG
rnacentral:rRNA from 1 species